rnacentral:rRNA from 1 species
UACGUAGGGUGCGAGCGUUGCUCGGAAUCACUGGGCGUAAAGGGUGCGUAGGCGGGUCUUUAAGUCAGAGGUGAAAUCCUGGAGCUCAACUCCAGAACUGCCUUUGAUACUGAGGGUCUUGAGUAUGACAGAGGUGAGUGGAACUGCGAGUGUAGAGGUGAAAUUCGUAGAUAUUCGCAAGAACACCAGUGGCGAAGGCGGCUCACUGGGUCAUUACUGACGCUGAGGCACGAAAGCGUGGGGAGCAAACAGG